ACGGGGAGCAGCAGGCGCGAAAACUUUGCAAUACACGAAAGUGUGACAGGGUCAUCCCGAGUGCCGACCGCUGAGGUUGGCUUUUACCCAGUCUAGAACGCUGGGGGAAUAAGGAGAGGGCAAGUCUGGUGUCAGCCGCCGCGGUAAUACCAGCUCUCCGAGUGGUGUGGACGUUUAUUGGGCCUAAAGCAUCCGUAGCUGGCUGAACAAGUCCCCUGUUAAAUCCACCGAUUUAAUCGUUGGUCUGCGGGGGAUACUGCUCGGCUAGGGGACGAGAGAGGCAGAUGGUAUUCCCGGGGUAGGGGUGAAAUCCUAUAAUCCCGAGAAGACCACCAGUGGCGAAGGCUGUCUGCUAGAACGCGCCCGACGGUGAUGGAUGAAAGCUGGGGGAGCGAACCGGAUUAGAUACCCGGGUAGUCCCAGCUGUAAACGAUGCAGACUAGGUGUUUGGACGGCCACGUGCCGUUCUAGUGCCGCAGGGAAGCUGUUAAGUCUGCCGCCUGGGGAGUACGAUCGCAAGAUUGAAACUUAAAGGAAUUGGCGGGGGAGCAC
rnacentral:rRNA from 1 species